rnacentral:rRNA from 1 species
CCAUCUGGAAGAAUCUGGAGACAGGUGCUGCAUGGCUGUCGUCAGCUCGUGUCGUGAGAUGUUGGGUUAAGUCCCGCAACGAGCGCAACCCUUGCCUUUAGUUGCCAGCAGUUCGGCUGGGCACUCUAAAGGGACUGCCGGUGUUAAACCGGAGGAAGGUGGGGAUGACGUCAAGUCCUCAUGGCCUUUAUGACCAGGGCUACACACGUACUACAAUGGCCGAUACAAAGGGCAGCGACACUGCGAGGUGAAGCCAAUCCCGUAAAAUCGGUCUCAGUCCGGAUUGGAGUCUGCAACUCGACUCCAUGAAGUUGGAAUCGCUAGUAAUCGUGGAUCAGCAUGCCACGGUGAAUACGUUCCCGGGCCUU